GACGAAGGAUGCAAGCGUUAUCCGGAUUCAUUGGGUUUAAAGGGAGCGUAGGUGGCCUUAUAAGUCAGUGGUGAAAUCUCUGGGCUUAACCCAGAAAUUGCCAUUGAUACUGUAGGGCUUGAGUAUAGUUGCCGUUGGCGGAAUAUGACAUGUAGUGGUGAAAUACAUAGAGAUGUCAUAGAACACCGAUUGCGAAGGCGGAUCUCUGGGCCAUUACUGACGCUGAGGAGCGAAAGCGUGGGGAGCGAACAGG
rnacentral:rRNA from 1 species